rnacentral:misc_RNA from 1 species
CCUUUCGAGGGGAAGGCGUAGCUCAUUCGUAAUACAUUAGCAACUCAAUUUUGAACUUUGGAUUGACUCGGCGUAAUAGACUAUUCGCUGAGGACACCUUUCGAGGUGGCCGAAUUUCAAGGUAGUAGCUUCUAAAUCUCAUUUGAAGUCAAAUUCUUAGAUUAGACCUCAGAUCAGGCAGGAUUACCCGCUGAACUUAA